CCAACAUUCCAUAUCACUCUGCAACUCACAACUGGCAACCCAGUGAAGCUAAGCAGGUGUGGGCCUGGUCAGUACCUGGAUGGGAGACUUCCUGGGAAAAACUAAGGUUAGUGCUGGA
rnacentral:rRNA from 1 species